GGUCCAGACUCCUACGGGAGGCAGCAGUGGGGAAUAUUGCACAAUGGGGGAAACCCUGAUGCAGCGACGCCGCGUGAGUGAAGAAGUAUUUCGGUAUGUAAAGCUCUAUCAGCAGGGAAGAAAAAAGACGGUACCUGACUAAGAAGCCCCGGCUAACUACGUGCCAGCAGCCGCGGUAAUACGUAGGGGGCAAGCGUUAUCCGGAUUUACUGGGUGUAAAGGGAGCGUAGGCGGUAAUGCAAGUCAGAAGUGAAAGCCCGGGGCUCAACUCCGGGACUGCUUUUGAAACUGUGUUGCUAGAUUGCAGGAGAGGUAAGUGGAAUUCCUAGUGUAGCGGUGAAAUGCGUAGAUAUUAGGAGGAACACCAGUGGCGAAGGCGGCUUGCUGGACAGUAACUGACGUUGAGGCUCGAAAGCGUGGGGAGCAAACAGGAUUAGAUACCCGGGUA
rnacentral:rRNA from 1 species